GUUGAAAUAAGUAAUCAUGCAAAGACAACAGUGUGUACUGCAUCUCAGGGCCCCAAGGCCCCGGUGACAGGGAGCUCAGAUGUCGCAGGGCUGGAAGCAGAGCCAAGCCCCAUCUCUUCGGCUCAUGCUGAACCACGGCCCGGCCGGAAGAGUGUGGAUUCUGUUCCUCUCUGUCUCACGUGGUCGGGAUUACGUUGCCUCACUCUCCAAGAACCUCAGUUUCCCCAACCAGGGAAUGGGACUGCUCAAGGACAAACCUAUCUUCCUAAAGGGAUGAAAUGAUGCAAGCAGGAGUUCUUUCAUUUAAAACCCGAGCAGCAGCAGCAAUGCUGAAAAGAACAAUCACGGAAGAAUUCAUUCCUGCAGGAAUAUAAGAGCUUACAAUUUAACUGCUAUGAACCAUGGAGACUGGAACAGCUGCCUCCCAACACUGGGUGAAAUACUUUUGCUCUGGAAGCCAACUGGAAGCAGGACUCCUGGGGUCUUUUUCCUGGACCUCUUGAUUUUGUGCACCAUCAAGUCCCCAUAUUGCCUUCUUGUUUGCUCUGGAGAGAAGGGAGCAUCUGCC
rnacentral:lncRNA from 1 species